CUUCUGCUGUGAUGAAUUAUGAAAUAAAUUCACAUGUCAGACUUCAGAGAUUUUUUUAAAAAUUUAUGAGAAGAAAUUCGUGUCUUCUGAGCAGAUA
rnacentral:snoRNA from 1 species